ensembl:lncRNA
AGAUGUAAUUCCAUGCAUUACGGGACCAGGCAAGGCAGGAGAGAGAUGGACACUUUGGUCUGUAAAUGCAUCAUCUCUUCAUCCUGGAAAGUGAGGUUUUUCUUCUUAGUGGCUUCCUUUCCACACAAGCCAGCGUGAGACACGCAGCUCUCAGAGGAUACUCUUAGAGGAGGGCUUUUGGGGCCAGACAAAGCACGUCUCAAAAACUUCUGCUAUCUCCAUCAGCACUUGGUGGCAGCCUGCUCCACUGCAGGGAGCUUUGGCUCUGCUCGGUUGGAGCUACACCAGUCCACAGCCUCUGGAGCACCAAGGGAGAAUCUUUUUGCUGUUAAUAUCAGACUGUUUAGUACUAAAGUCCUCCUCUUUUCUCUGCCGCUAGGAUUUGCUAUCCAGCUUCUGUGAUGUUUUUUCUGAAUUUACCAAGCUUUUGUUUAUAUAUUUCUGAGUCAUGAGGAAGCCCUGUUCUGCCAGCCAGGUGUCAACAUAGCUCUGUUUCACCAUCUCUUCUGAGGGCCAAGGCUGACUUGUGCAUCUCCUUCAGCUGGCUGCAUAGACAGCUCCUUCUCAGUGUUUUUCACAAAAUGACCCAUCUUGCAUCACAGCCCUGGUCUAGCAAGGCAGCAGUGUAGAAACUGAAGCCUUAAAACCUGAACAGGAUGAGAAAUACGUAACCCUUGGAGAAUGCUGGAGCUGAUGAGAUGUUUCGGAGCCAGUCUCUAUUCUUAGAAGAGUGGUGAAAGUCAUCAUUUAAAAAUAAGAUCCACUGCAGUGCUAGCAAAGAGUUGUAUCUGUGGUAUUCCUGUGAGUAAAUCCCUCAACACACAUUGACUUGGCUUCAAGAUCAGAAACACUCCACCAAAAUAAGGCCCAGCUGCGAUUUAUACACAGUGCUGAUCUGAAUGGGAGAGAAGUACACAUGGCAUUUGUUGCAACAGGUAUCCAGAGCUCAAGCCUGGAGUUUAAUCGGUAUUACAGGUCAAGGAGAGUUUUUCAAGGGUCUCUGAAAGCGUUAGCCAAUGCAAGCAGUGAUAUUGGGUACUCGCCCUUUUGGAAAUUUGCCCAGACACUUUGCUGCUGUUCUGCUGUCUGGCAGGGACUCGAUGCUGCCUUCACAUGAGGUGGGUGCUCUGCCAAGUCUCUGAAUCUUGUGCAGAGGCCUUUCUAACAUGUCCAUGCCUUAAGAUAUCAAAUGGGUGUGAACUUAUGUAGCAGUGGAGGCUUGGGGCUCACACUCAACAUAUCUAGGUAUACCAGAACCCCCUGGGACAUAGAAUCAUCAUAGAAAGUCAUGAGUUGGAAGGGACAUUAGAGCCCACCCAGUUCCAACUGCCCUGCUGUGGGCUGGUUGGGGUCACAGAGCACAGAUCCUGCCAAGACUCCUGACAUAGAGGGGGUCUGAGGGAAGACAAGGUGAAUACGUGUAUUUGCAGCAUUGCUACCCCCGCUCCUGUGAAGGAAAGGUGAAGUCUGAG